UCCAGUCAAAAUCAGAUCUGUCUGACUUUUCUUAUUUUCUAAGACCUUGUUCACAUCUGCUUCAGAGUCAGAAAACUAUGCCAGAUGGACACUGACCGAAACCAUUGACUUCAAUGACGUCCAUCUGGUUUCCAUCAAGAUCUAACCGGAAAUAAAGUUAUCGCUGGUUCACUCAGUUUCCCCAUAUUCUGCACCAUCAAUGGAGGGCCAACGCAGAUGUCAACAUAGGAGUGUCUCUCCAUUGUGUAUCAUAGGGGUGGACAAGAUUGGCAAAAUCUGUAAAAGUAAACAAAAUAUAUUUAGCAAGCUUUGACCGUGAACUUAACUUUGGAUUUACUACAAUAUAGAUGAUUUUUAUUUUUGUGUGGAAACCCUUGAGUUUUUCUAUACUUUUCUUGGCACAGGACUGUAUAAAAUCUCUGGGACAUUUCUUAACCUACGACUUCUGCGCUGUUCCUCCUCCAUAGCAGUAACAUUCUCUUGCCAGAUGUUAAUAUAAUGGGUCGCAUGGCCUUUCCACACAUGGACAUUACUCCUAUCAUGAUAUCAGACCAUUUGACUGUGCAGAAGACAAAAUC